UUAAAUUGAAGAGUUUGAUCAUGGCUCAGAUUGAACGCUGGCGGCAGGCCUAACACAUGCAAGUCGAACGGUAACAGGAAGAAGCUUGCUUCUUUGCUGACGAGUGGCGGACGGGUGAGUAAUGUCUGGGAAACUGCCUGAUGGAGGGGGAUAACUACUGGAAACGG
rnacentral:rRNA from 1 species